UCACUGGCCUCCGAGUUAAAGUUUAACGGAAUCAGCCCAGUACCGGACACGACGAAAAGG
rnacentral:ncRNA from 1 species